GGUGAGCAGCAACCUUUACAAAUCGAAGGAGCUAUUUUAUCAACUAGUGUAGUCUUAAAAGGAGCAACAAGAAGAACUCGGAAACUGGAAGCUGAUGCAGAAAAGAUCGAACAACAACAAUUUACACAAAAUGGUGAAGGAAAUCAAAUUGAGAAUCAGGAAAAUGAUAAUGAAUCCAAUCAUGUUUCUAUGGACAAUACUGUAGCUA
rnacentral:lncRNA from 1 species